UACGAAGGGGGCUAGCGUUGUUCGGAAUUACUGGGCGUAAAGGGCGCGUAGGCUGUGCUGUAAGUCAGGCGUGAAAUCCCCGGGCUCAACCUGGGAAUUGCGUUUGAUACUGCGGCGCUGGAAUGCAGGAGAGGAUGGCGGAAUUCCCAGUGUAGAGGUGAAAUUCGUAGAUAUUGGGAAGAAUACCGGUGGCGAAGGCGGCAUCCUGGACCGGCAUUGACGCUGAGGAGCGAAAGCCAGGGGAGCAAACGGG
rnacentral:rRNA from 1 species